CCGUACUAGACGGGGAGUUAGCGGUGUCCUGUAACCCGCAAGCCGCUAUAGCGGGGUUGAAUCCCAUGCGGAGGGUUUUCUUUGUAGGGUAUGGAGUACAUUACUUGGCGUUGAGGGAUGGGUCCUGUGCAAUGUUGCGUUGUGAACCCUGUCAGGUCCUGACGGAAGCAGCAGUAAGCAAAUUGCAGCGUGUGCCGCAGGUUCGCCUGUUCUGAGUCAAUGAUGUAAAUUCCUCUUAUGAGGCCAAAAUUCGAUGUAUGGUGUACGG
rfam:Catabacter hongkongensis strain HKT16 2806ref_2ab_c9, whole genome shotgun sequence.